rnacentral:lncRNA from 1 species
CCCUUCCCUCCCCUCCUCCUCUUUCCUCUCCUCUCCCCUCCCCUCCUCUCCCCUCCUUUCUCCCCCUUCCUCCUCUUGCUCCUCCCGGGCGGGGAAACCCAGCCCCGCGCUCGUCUUUGGGGCCACCGGUCGCCCCCGCCUCCGGGACCUGCGGGGAGGGCCCGCGCGAGAUGGAGACGAGAGAUCUGGACUUCUGAACGCCUAUCAGAAAAGAUAAAAUGUGCAAACCCUUCAGAACACUGGGGAGGUCAGGCUGAACUGCAGUGGGAGAGGAGAAGAGAUGCUGGCGUGAAGGGCCGGGGCAGAAGAUCAGGGAAAAACUCGGAUGAUCUGAAUGAUAGCAGUGACCACCAGCAACCUACAGAGCUGCCCGACCAGGAAAUUGUCAGACAGAAGCAACGCUU